AAAGAAAGAAGCGUCUGGAAGAAAUCAUGAAGAGGACUCGUAAGAGUGACGCAGGAGCACAGAGGUGCUGUGAGAGAUGAGAUAUCAGAGUCUUCUGGAUAUAAAGAGAAGAAGAGAAGCCUUACUCUACCACCGCUUCCACCCUGACGUGUGCCAAACCAACAAAAACAGACUGCUUUAACUUUAGAAACACAGCCGAGCCGGACGCACUCUGGAGAAAGUGCCAGAAGACGACCUUAAAGAGACACUUAUAUACAUAUACAACGUUUGCAAAAAGUCUCUGUCUAUUUCACUGUGUGUGUCAUGGUGCAACAUUUGUUGAGUUUCUUUAACAAGUCACCUGCCGAUCAUGUGGUGCACCUUAAAAGAGUCGCUAUAUAUUGAAUUUUAGAAAAGACAACUUGGCUUAUCUUUAUGAUAUGAAUUAUUGUUGUUGUUGUUGCUCUUGUUAUGAUGUAUUGUUAUCGUUCUUUUAAGUAGAGAAAAAAAGCAAACCUGUGUCUUGAACUAUUGCGUUAUUUAACGUGUGGCGCAUCAGAAGAGGCCGAUAUUCUGUAUGUUAAUGUAUAUUUGCCUGAUUAUGACAGACCUGUGGAAUAAAUCUUUAUGAAAGGG